rnacentral:rRNA from 1 species
GACAGAGGGUGCAAACGUUGUUCGGAAUUACUGGGCGUAAAGCGUGUGUAGGCGGUCUCGUAAGUCGGGUGUGAAAGCCCUGGGCUCAACCCAGGAAGUGCACUCGAAACUGCGCGGCUCGAGUGCCGGAGGGGAGAGUGGAAUUCCUGGUGUAGCGGUGAAAUGCGUAGAUAUCAGGAGGAACACCAGUGGCGAAGGCGGGUCUCUGGGCCGAUACUGACGCUGAGGAGCGAAAGCGUGGGGAGCGAACAGG